AAGUGUCAUUACGAGUUGCGGUUUAAUUACGCCGCACGCCAACCUGCCUACCCGGGUAAGGUGGUGGCUCUCAGAGCAUUGAGAGAAUGAGGUCUCCUCGAGCGGAGGCAAUAGAGCGGGAAAGA
rnacentral:ncRNA from 2 species